rnacentral:rRNA from 1 species
CGGCGGACGGGUGAGUAACGCGUGGGCAACCUGCCUUGAACAGGGGGAUAACACAGGGAAACUUGUGCUAAUACCGCAUAACAUUAUCGAAUGGCAUCAUUUGAUAAUCAAAGGAGCAAUCCGGUUUAAGAUGGGCCCGCGUCCAAUUAGCUAGUUGGUGAUGUAACGGACCACCAAGGCGACGAUUGGUAGCCGAACUGAGAGGUUGAUCGGCCACAUUGGGACUGAGACACGGCCCAGACUCCUACGGGAGGCAGCAGUGGGGAAUAUUGCGCAAUGGGGGAAACCCUGACGCAGCAACGCCGCGUGAAGGAUGAAGGUUUUCGGAUUGUAAACUUCUUUGAUGAGGGACGAAACAAAUGACGGUACCUCAAAAACAAGCCACGGCUAACUACGUGCCAGCAGCCGCGGUAAUACGUAGGUGGCGAGCGUUGUCCGGAAUUACUGGGUGUAAAGGGCGUGUAGGCGGGGAUGUAAGUCAGAUGUGAAAUACCGAGGCUUAACUUCGGGGCUGCAUCUGAAACUACGUUUCUUGAGUGUCGGAGAGGAAAGCGGAAUUCCCAGUGUAGCGGUGAAAUGCGUAGAUAUUGGGGAGGAACACCAGUGG